GGAUACCCUGCCAAGAAACCCAAAGCGCAGGGAGGGUCUAGCUUUCCUGGUGAAGGGGGACGGAUACAGAGAGGAGUCGAGAGGGACUGCAGGAAGCGUAAAUCCGCCCGGAAUCUCAAGACCCAGAGAAGCAACAGGGGAGAUCAAGUCAACAAAUCUUCAGCGUGAACUCAACACUUAAAAACACCGAACACUGGAGACCAAUCGAGCAUGUGAAUAUGGAAUAUGCUGACAUGACAAGGAUGAGUCUCUAGGGGUCCAUGGGGCUUCGGUGGGGCCUUACUGCAGGGCGUGCUGAGAUGCUGACUUGCAGGCACUGGGUCCACAGGGGAGCGCCGGCCCGGCUCCUGUUACCGGUCUCCCUCUCCUCCCCUGACGAUCCUUCCACACCUUGCUCCUCGGUGAGACCGGAACCUUCCGCUGCGGCUCGCGGGGUGGGCUCCACUUGACUCAUGUGGUGUUAUAAGAGGGGUCGUGACCCGGUCGUAUGACUGCUUCCUGUUGCUGUUGAAGAGGUCUUCCGAGGCCUGGGGUGAUCACAGGAGAUACUACAUCCGGUGGUUGAGGGCCUGUCACAGUAAAAGACAUACAUCAGUUGAACAGUAGCUGUUCUGGGAUGAAGGGAGAGAAGGAAACAGAGAAAGUGGUGUUAUUUAUUGCUAUGAGGGCCAGAGGGAGAUGGUGAAAGAGAUUAGUUCACUUCAUAUAGACAAGAAUGAAUAAAACAUUUUUAAACACUUUCGUGAACUAACACUCACACUUGACUCCCCCCCUUACUAGCUCUGACUUUGCUAAUAGCUACUUUAUUGAGGAAAAUUUACUUACUAUUACUGUGAUAUGUCCCACCUAUCUAUCUUAAGAUGAAUACACUAACUGUAAGUCGCUCUGGAUAACAGCGUCUGCUAAAUGACUAACAUGUAAAUAUAAAUGUAAUAAGAUGGAAAAAAGAACUGGUGGUCAUUUGGGGGUUCUGGAUGAAUGCCAGGAGGACUCUGAUGCUUUUAAAGUUCUGAUUAAGCUGUUCUCACAGACUGUUACAUGGAGAACUAGUUCCAUGAUCAUAGUUCAUAUGGGGUAGCCCGUCUAUCAGUCUGGACUUCAUCUCAUCAUCUUGCAGGUCUC